rnacentral:rRNA from 1 species
AACGAACGCUGGCGGCAGGCUUAACACAUGCAAGUCGAACGCAUCCUUCGGGGUGAGUGGCAGACGGGUGAGUAACGCGUGGGAACGUGCCCUUCAGUUCGGGAUAACCCAGGGAAACUUGGGCUAAUACCGGAUACGUGCGAGAGCAGAAAGAUUUAUCGCUGAAGGAUCGGCCCGCGUCUGAUUAGCUAGUUGGUGGGGUAAUGGCCCACCAAGGCGACGAUCAGUAGCUGGUCUGAGAGGAUGAUCAGCCACAUUGGGACUGAGACACGGCCCAAACUCCUGCGGGAGGCAGCAGGGGGAAAUAUGGGACAAGGGGCGAAAGCCUGAUCCAGCCAUGCCGCGUGAGUAAUGAAGGCCUUAGGGUUGUAAAGCUCUUUCGUCCGGGACGAUAAUGCCGGUACCGGAAGAAGAAGCCCCGGCUAACUUCGGGCCAGCCGCCGCAGUAA